rnacentral:snRNA from 1 species
UCGGUAAUCUUUUAAUUUUGC